CAGUUUCUUUAGAAACUUUUAGCCUUUGAUCUAACAGGCUGUGUGUUGAAAGCUUUAUUGAUAAAUUGAUCGUACUGAUUCGAUAUGGUGUCUUCAAAUCAUGACUUGAUAAUGAAGUGUUCACCUGCUGAAAGACAGGCUUGCUCAGUUAAGGCUACUAAUGUAAAAUAUUCAUUUUUAUGCAUAAGAGUUGACAAGUGUUGUUACUACUGAACGCGAGUGCGCAUGUGCCAGUUUGGCCAACAUUGUGUUUGACCAUGCAGCUAUACCAGCCCUUCAACAGCAGGAUAUUGUGCAAAGGCUUGGCUCCCUGCUGACUGGUGAUAAUAGAGGUAUCCAGGAAGGUGCUGCUGGUACAUUGAGGAAUCUGAAAAUUUCCUGGUGAUCCUUAGGUGUGAGUUAAAAUGGUACAUUUAGAACAAGAUGCCAUGAUUCCACUUACCACACUUGCAUAGCAGUCUCUUGAUUCCAUGGGUGGUAUUGAUAAGACUCUGAGGAGUGGGUUUAAAAGACAGUCUACAAG